GGCGGAGGUUGCAGGCAGCCAAGAUUGCGCCACUGUACUCCAGCUGCGAGACAGAGCAAGACUGUGUCUCAAAAAAAAAAUGGUUUUACUUUUGAAAUUCUGGAAAGCUACACGAAGUUAAUUACUACUAAUUUGAUUCCAUUCUCCUUCAGUGCUCUGCCCUAAGAAAAAGGCAGAGCACACUGACAACCCCAGACCUCAGAAGAAGAUACCAAUCCCUCCAUUACCCUCUAAACUGCCACCUGUUAAUCUGAUUCACCGGGACAUUCUGCGGGCCUGGUGCCAACAAUUGAAGCUGAGCUCCAAAGGCCAGAAAUUGGAUGCAUAUAAGCGCCUGUGUGCCUUUGCCUACCCAAAUCAAAAGGAUUUUCCUAGCACAGCAAAAGAGGCCAAAAUCCGGAAAUCAUUGCAAAAAAAAUUAAAGGUGGAAAAAGGGGAAACGUCCCUGCAAAGUUCUCAGACACAUCCUUCUGAAGUGGCUCUUCCCCCUGCGGGGGGGCCGCCUGCCCUGGAAGAUUCCACUCCUCUCCUUGAGGGAGUUAAUACAGUUGUGGUGACAACUUCUGCCCCAGAGGCUUUGCUGGCCUCCUGGGCGAGAAUUUCAGCCAGGGCGAGGACGCCAGAGGCAGUGGAAUCUCCACAAGAGGCCUCUGGUGUCAGGUGGUGUGUGGUCCAUGGGAAAAGUCUCCCUGCAGACACAGAUGGUUGGGUUCACCUGCAGUUU
rnacentral:sRNA from 1 species